UACGAAGGUGGCUAGCGUUGCUCGGAAUUACUGGGCGUAAAGCGCACGUAGGCGGUCUUUUAAGUCGGGGGUGAAAUCCUGGAGCUCAACUCCAGAACUGCCUUCGAUACUGGAAGACUUGAGUCCGGGAGAGGUGGGUGGAACUGCGAGUGUAGAGGUGAAAUUCGUAGAUAUUCGCAAGAACACCAGUGGCGAAGGCGGCUCACUGGCCCGGUACUGACGCUGAGGUGCGAAAGCGUGGGGAGCAAACAGG
rnacentral:rRNA from 1 species